GGCUCCGACCCGAGCGCGGCAGAUGGUGGCCACUGCAGUGGGUGCGGAUGUGCCUGACGAGAUGAAGGGCCGAAUCCCUGUGGUGCUCCUGGCCUGUGGCUCCUUCAACCCCAUCACCAACAUGCACCUGCGCUUAUUUGAGGUGGCCAGAGACCACCUGCACAAAACAGGAAUGUACCAGGUGAUCGGGGGUAUCAUCUCUCCUGUCAAUGACAACUACAGGAAGAAAGACCUCGUGGCCGCCCAGCACCGAGUGGCCAUGGUCCGGCUGGCGCUGCAGACGUCCGACUGGAUCCGGGUGGACCCCUGGGAGAGUGAGCAGGCACAGUGGAUGGAGACAGUAAAGGUGUUGAGGCAUCACCAUAGUCAGCUGCUCGGAUCUCUGCCCCGGACGGAAGGCCCAGACCACAGCAGGAGUGUCUCCCUGGCGCCCGCAGCUGUGCCUGAACUGAAGCUCCUCUGUGGGGCAGAUGUCCUGAAGACCUUCCAGACCCCCGACCUCUGGAAAGACGAGCACAUCCAGGAAAUAGUGGAGAAGUUCGGCUUGGCUGAGGCUUCCAACAUCCCUGUGCCCUCAGAACUGCCAUUCAGGACCUGGCAAAUGGAGACCGUCAAUGAGUGGAAGGAGUUUGGAAUUUCCGUAGUCAUGGCUGGUCAGGCAGGCAGAGUGCCUACAUCGCCAGCCCACGAUAAAAACCCUGGGUUCUGAGUCUCAAGCAGGCUUCCCUGGCCAGAAACAAUGGAUCUUGUUGCUGCAUUUCACCACUGGAGGAGGAAGCAUGUUCUGUGCGCCUCCCCACCCCCCACCCCAGGAGGGAGAACUUGGGAAGCCUUCACUUGGAUUCCUCCAGACCCCGCUUGCCGUGUCUUUCCCCCUGGCUAGUCCAGUGUGUGUGCUUUUGCUGGAAUAACCCAUUGCCGAACACUUCAAGCUAAUCUAAAUAAGAGAGAUGGGAGCGCCAGCUGUCACAGGAUGUCAGCGAUGGGAAGGACUCAAGGACGGGACAUAGAUAACAGGCUUCGCAAGAAACUGGAAAGAAAGAAGAAAUUGAAGUGUCCUCCCCUCUCCCCUGUCUCUCUCUUCUUCCUCCUCCCCUCUUCCUCUUCUUCCUCUCUCUCUUUCUCUGGUUCUCCCUCCCUCCCUGCCCUCACUGCCCAGACUGGCUUCUGUGCUUCUCAGCCACUGCUCAUCUAGCAGCCAUCACAACUGUGCCCAUGUGACUUCCCACCUUAACCCCUGUCUCAAUGUCACAAUUACAGAUUCCCAAAGAGAGAUUCACUGGUCCUGGAUGGACUUGUCCACCUGGUCCAUGUAGCAGUAACAUGCCUGUCAGGACACAGGGUGUACAGGCAGGAAGGAAGUGAUGGGUGCUUCCAACACUCAGGUAAGUGCCCACAAAAUUACCAAGUCGCCCAGCAGUUCUUGUAUACCCCUCUUGCCCCUGUUUUGUGCAGGAGGCAGUACAAUGCUGGAAGCAGCAUGCCCCUGGAGAAAGAAAGGGAUGGAUGGGCAGGAAAGCACCUGGGUGUCAGUCAUUCCUUCUCUAUUCCUUCCUCCAUGGUGGGCAGAUGGACCUGGGCCAAGAGUGGAUUAAGCAGAAACUAGAGAGAGCUCCUCCGGGACCUACAGGCAUUGUCAUAGCAUGUGCUUGAGUGAGCAUGGGUCUGGGGGAGCCUGACUUCCACAGGAAAGAGCAGGGUGAAUGGACUGCAGCUGGACUGGGGGGCCGGUGACCUUCAGCCUGAUCCUGCAGAGGAAGCCAGGGUCUUCCUUCCCCGAGAAGCUGCAUCGAGCACAGGACGCAGAGCGUCGAGCUAGGCGUGGGAUCCCAAUCCUCGGCACCCGCCCCGGAGCCUUGUCUCAACUCUCACAACCUCUCUGAAAGCCGUAACUUGGCCAAAACUCAACUAGCUUCUUGGUGGAAGGACGGCAACUUUGUACAAAUGGGUGUUUCUGGGGAGUGGAUUUCCCUCUCAUUUCAAGACGUCAUGUCGUCCAGAGACCUGUCUUUCCUAACCUCUGCCCCCCACCUCUCUCCCACUGAAGCUGAGGAGAGCCUCUCUGCUCCAACAGCCCAGCGUGUCCCUCUGUCAUAACCCCUGGUGGCCCCCGUUGCCAUGGUUGUCUCCCCAACCUGACUGUGCAUCCCCUAAAGAUGGGGACUGUGUUGGAAUUGACUCAGUGCCCCAUGGACAUCUGGAUGGUCAGAUGAAGGCCUGGCAUCCUUCCCCAUUUCCAACAGCACCUGAGCUCCUUCUGGGGACUGCCCUUCCUUACUGGAUUCAGUCUUGUAAGGCAUGCUCAGAUACUCCCCCAAAUUUAAAUCUAGAACACAGUGAUGAUUAAAAAUGGCUGUUUUCUGUUCA